rnacentral:lncRNA from 1 species
UUUCGGUAUCGCAUACUGCUGCGUCUGUUUGGCUCUCGCUAUUUUCGCACUGUUGAUACUCUACUUCUGCUGCUGGCCAAGCUAAGCUCCGUUACAGUGAACUAUACAGUUUCGGAGUGGCCCAUGGCUGCCUCUUGGUAAGGUUGGGCAUGGAAACUGCUACGUCAGAGUUCAGGCGGGUGAUUUGAAGUGCGCUAGAGCCGCGAUUUUCUUUCAAAAUAAGCAUUUCCUUGGCACAAAUCAAGCACUACGAGGGUUCUGAAACGCUAUUCCAACAAUCAACGUCGACUUAAUAUUUUCCUUUAGUGUCCCUUUAAAGCAUUAUAAGUAAGUAAAGCUGGCGUAAACUAUGUUGAAAUUUUUUUUAAUGUAACCAAUUAGGGUGUGUCGACUCUGCGCUAUAUAUCGCCAAGCCUCGACGUUAUAGAGUUUUGGUGCACUUCUGAAUGAUUCUUUAUGGCAUCCAUUUUGUAUUGGGACUUGUGUUAGAGGUUCCCAGCGAUAUUUUCUCUUACUUUUACCAUUUCUGUUUCACCACAUUGGAGUUAUCAGAGUUUUUUUUUUAAAUGUAUGUAUUCUCUUUUGUAUACAGUAUUUCUUCUUUGAGAUGUUCUUGUAUUUACUGCAUAUCCGACUUGGUAAAAACAAACAUUGCCAUUUUUUACGAGGUAUGGUGUCUGGCCAAAAAGAAAAAAACGCUGGUGUAUUGACUUAUUAAGCGGCCACACAUUCUGUGCACAGACUGCACACAUUUCACCUUUUGUUUCGAUGACCCAGGCCUGAUUCCUUCUUUCGGCAGCUUUGCAUUGAGAACGUCAAACAAGUCGUUCAGCUCCUUAGUGAAAACUUCGGUGCCUUCGCUGUUUUCCAGUCCUGGGAGCCCCUGGUUCCUGUAAAAUUCCAAGCCUAUGGCUGUUCCACGGCUGAAAAGCUGAAAAUAAGGGUACAACGCAAGGCGUACAUUCAUCUUGCGCAAGCAGUCUGGUUCAAUGUGUGCUUGCGUCAGCUUUGGCACAAUACGAAGCUGCUGGUUCUCCUCGGCUUUGUACAGCAACCGGUAGUGAUCGUAGGCAACUUCACAGUUUCCAGCCUAGAAAAACACAUGCAAAUGAAUUGCACGAUAUCCUGAAUUGCGCCCACAUGGCCUUGUUGCUCCCGGCACCAUCACUGACGACUGCUAUCACUACUGCAUUUUGCUUGAAAAGUUCGAGAACAGCCUCAAGCACAAGCCUGGCAAGGACAUCACCUGGUGCAGCUCCCUUGCUGGCGAAGCUGGCGAUUGGCUGUACCCAGUUACUGAAUAAAGGCACAUACAUGAACACAA